CACGUAGGCACCAAGCGUUGUCCGGAUUUAUUGGGCGUAAAGAGCUCGUAGGCGGUUCAGUAAGUCAGGUGUGAAAACUCUGGGCUCAACCCAGAGACGCCACCCGAUACUGCUGUGACUUGAGUACGGUAGGGGAGUGGGGAAUUCCUGGUGUAGCGGUGAAAUGCGUAGAUAUCAGGAGGAACACCAAUGGCGAAGGCAGCUCGCUGGGACGGUAUUGACGCUGAGACGCGAAAGCGUGGGGAGCAAACAGG
rnacentral:rRNA from 1 species